CAUAGCGACUAUCGUGGCAUAUCAAUAAGCGGAGGAAAAGAAACUAACAAGGAUUCCCCUAGUAACGGCGAGUGAAGCGGGAAGAGCUCAAAUUUGAAAUCUUCAAGGUUUGACCUCGACGAAUUGUAGUUUAAAGAAGUGUUUUCGGUUAGAGGAGUAGUAAAAGUUCUUUGGAAUAGGACAUCAUAGAGGGUGAGAAUCCCGUAUUUGACUAUUCUUUCUAGCUUUGUGAUACACUUUCAAAGAGUCGGAUUGUUUGGGAAUGCAGUCCAAAAUGGGUGGUAAAUUUCAUCUAAAGCUAAAUAUUGGCGAGAGACCGAUAGCGAACAAGUACCGUGAGGGAAAGAUGAAAAGAACUUUGAAAAGAGAGUUAAACAGUACGUGAAAUUGUCAAAAGGGAAGCGUUUGACACCAGUGUUGUUUUUUCCGAAAAUCAAUUAAAAAUUGAUUCAUGCCAGGUUGUAUUGACCUUAUCAGCUUGCAAUUUGGUUUUGGGUCUCUUUUUGAUGCACUUUUCGGUUAACAAGUCAACAUCAAUUUCCUUUGCUGUAAAAAAGGUAAGAGGAAGGUGGCUUCAAUUUCGGGUUGAAGUGUUUAUAGCCUUUGACUUCUGCAAUCGGAGAGAUUGAGGUCUGCAGCGUAGAUCCUUCGGGGUUAGAUACAUUUGUGCUAAGUUAUAGUUUUUCAUAGACAACUUGUUGACUAUGUUUAGUCAUGUAGCUUACUCGUAAGUGCUAUUUUACCUACGCUUAGGAUGUUGAUAUGCAUGACUGAUAU
rnacentral:rRNA from 1 species